GUGCCUGCUUGGACAGCACGUAGACUAAAAUUGGAACAAUACAGAAUAGAUUAGCAUGACCCUCAAACAAUGGUGACGCACGCAUUCAUGAUACAGCUAUUUUGU
ensembl:snRNA U6 U6 spliceosomal RNA